GAUUUACUUUUUUAUUAGUUCAAUCUAUUUCAGUUCGUUAAAAUAUUAGUUCAUAUAUUAAUCAAAUCGGCUAAUGAAAAAUGAAUUUUUUGUAUUUUGAAUUAGUAUUUUAAUUUUAAAAAUUAUCUAAUUUUUUUUAAUACAUACUAAAUUUUAUACUAUGAAAAAUGUUAAAAAUUUCUAAAUUAGCUUGUUUGCUCUUGAAAUCGAAACCUCCCCCACAAAUUGGGACAGAGGGAGUAAUUUCAAUUUUGCUAUUUGAAAAAACAGAGGAUUUUCCGUUGGGGUUUAACCGGAUCGGGCCUUUUCAUCUCCGAACCAAAGUACCAACAGAUUUCAGCUCAACAGCCAUUAGUUAUGGACCACUUUGGAGGAGGAAGUUGGACAAUGAUCCCCAACAUCCAAACUCACAGUAAUCCUUCGACACCCUCCAAUCAAGACAAUUUAUUUCUUCAGCAACAGCAAUUUCAACAACAACAGUUCAAUCAACCGCAGCUCUAUCAGCAACAACAGCAGCAGCAGCAACAACAACAACGGUAUCAACAACAGAUGCAACAGCAACAAAUGCAGCAGCAGCAGCAACAGAUGCAGCAGCAGCAAAUGCAGCAACAACAACAACAGCAGCAGCAGCAACAACAACAACAGCACCACCAAUCACUUGCCUCUCACUUCCAUCUUUUACAACUGGUGGAGAAUUUAGCUGAUACAAUUGAAAAUGGAAAUCGAGAUCAGCACUCAGAUGCAUUGGUAACUGAAUUGAAAAAUCAGUUUGAGAAGUGCCAGCAGCUGUUGACAUCAAUAUCAGGGUCUAUUAGCUCAAGAUCUAUGACAGUUGAGGGACAAAAGCGCAAAAAGGCAGAGUGCGAACAAAUGCUAAAUCAGCGAAGGGAUCUUAUUUCGAGGUACAAAGGUUCAGUUGAGGAGAUUAUUAACUCUGAACUAUAGCUCAUACUCGCAUUUUAACCAAGGAUGUAUUUUGUAAUCCAUGCUGGAUCUGCAUACCAUCUACUGAAGUAAAACACACUAGCAAACUUGUCCGAGCAUUAGCAUCAUCGUCAUGAGGAAUUUGCAGAAGAACAUUAAAUUCGAGCUAACGAUGAUGAAUCCUCAAGCAUCAGAUAUGUCUUUGUCAUGUAUUUCCUACAAAACCUAUUUAGUGUUUUAACCUUGUUUGGAUGCAAAUUAUUGUAUCUUCCACCAUUUAUUUCUAUGAGACUAGACAUCUAGCACACUUGGAACUGUUUCCUUUUUUGACCUGUUGACUGCCUUAGCUCUAUUACAAUCAUCAAACCUUAAUUGGAGUUUGCUGGUACCAAUGGUUAGGAAGAGCUACUACUAGGAAGGCGGCCAAGAUAGAUGACCUACACACAAAAAUUAAAUAAUUCGUAUCGGUAUUUAUAUCAAAUCUCUGUAUUGACAUAUAUGUAUUUGAAUGUUCGUUUAUAAUUGUUAAGAUGAAUGUCAUUGAUUUGACAAAUAACAGUCGUUAGAACGGGAUUGUUAACUGUGAUUUGAAUCAAAUACAAUGAAUUACUAAUA